AGUCUUGUGUUGACUGUAUCGACUAACCAAGAGGAAGUAUGGUCGCCAUCCAGAGGUGGGGGAGAAGCCGAUGUUGGAAAGGAUCCAAGUGUUGUAACCAGUCGCCCUGUGCAGCAUGUGCUAAAAGGAGUUGUUGCAGUCCAGAAGACAUGAUUGGUGUGUGUGAUAAUCCAGAGGGACAUUAACGCUCGACUGAAUGUUGGAAAUGAGAGGCAGUAAAGGUGUAAGUAUUGUUUGUUGAAGUUGUACCUAUACUUUGUUAUAAUUUGAAGUAGAGCUUUUGUAACAUUGACGUAUUGUUUUUUGUUUUCAUGUUGGUGGUGGAGGAAUAUGGGCGAAUUGUUGAGAGGAGCGCGUCGACACUGGAUACGGUGAUGUCAAAUUGUGCAAUGUAUUAUUUGAAGGUUUGAGGAUGGAGUGGUGGUGGGUAGUGCCGUAACCAGGUUGCAGAAAGGGUGGCCUACUACAUGUAUGGGGCUGUGCAAUGGACUGUGUUGAGGAGAAGAAGCAGCAGUAGCAGCGGCGGCAGUUGUUUAAGAUAAGUAGUGUGGUGUGGUGCAUCGUGAAUUGUUUGUGAUA